CGACAUAGGCUUUGUAUGUUUUAAAUAAUAUUUUUCCUCAAUUAAUAUUUAAUACCCGUUUAUAUUUAACGAGUGCUCUUUGUUGCGCGUGAGACGUAACAGUCGAAAUCGAUAUGCUUAGUACAUGUUUGUAUCGUCACUUGCGGAGCGUUUCCCGUUCAUUCAAUAAACAACGUUAAAACGACCGCGAAGGUUAGAGUGUAGACGGUUAACGCCUCGUUUAUAGUUUGGCAAUGCGAAUAGUAAGAAUGCCGGUGCCACGUACAAUCAGGAUUGACUUAUGAUAUUACUGAUGUUAAAGUAUUAAAUAUUAUUUUAUAUUUGUAAAGUUACGAGUGAUAUCUAUUUGAUUUCUUAAUAAAUAUAAUCGUAACUCACGGUACUUGUCGGCGCUGUAACGUCUUGUAUAGCAUGAGUGUACAGCAAUCCCCCUUAUCGAUAUUCUAUUUUGAUGACAUUAAGUUUUUUCGUGAUAACUCUCCUGUAACGUCAACAUUGUACUCGCAGCUGAAGUAUCUUCCACCGUACAAAUGAAUCGCCAAAGUAUUCUAAACUUAAUGUGAUCGUGAAUUUGUCUAUAUAUAAACGUAAACGUAAUCGUUGGUUAUUUUAAUGAGACAAUUUAGAGCGGUCGCUAGUGGGUUACACAUAUUGGUGUAGCAAGUCGCUGUUGGCAUAAGUUGCAGCUCCUUGGAAACCUGUUUUGCGCUUCGCUCGGAAAAUAUGUCGUCGAUAGCGCGUGGCCACUCACCGCUCCGACGCAUACACACAUCCGCACGGGAUGACGUCUGGACCGAGAGACCGUGGAACAGGCGAGAGAUGUCCCUGGACAUGGAACGCUCAAUGAAGCGGCGAGCAUAGAACGGAGGAGGCGACGAGGAGCUGGGCUCGAGGCAGCUCACACAGACACUGUCCUCGCAAAAUAUGACAGUCGAUGACGAGAUGUGCUAUUAGCUAUAUAUGAGCAAUCUUAUAUUCAGUACAUCGGAGUGUGUCACAGCUUUGUAUCUGCAGUAUUUUUUAUCACAAAGGACUGUAUCACUAGGUAAGUGGAGUAAUUUAUGCAAAGGUGUUGUUCUUGGUUGCAUCUGCCUGCGCACGCGCCGCCGUCCACGCACACAUACGAACUAAUUACACUAUCAUCUGUAUACGUUCAUGCAGAUUAAAAAAAACCCUAAACUAAAAAUACCUCGCAGAUAUUAAUAUGUCAAGCAAGUUAAAAAUUUAUAAAUUAUUCGGACACACCUGUUAUAUUCGCGUAUGUUGAGAGUGUUUUAUGCUUAUUGAUGUUUGCCUUAAAAAACCUUCGCAUAAGUAACGUUUCGUUUGAUAUAAAAUAUGUCAAAGGUGUUAUUUAUAAGUUUUUCCUGUUAAGUUGCGCGGUCGGGUCGGGAGCAGGGCUAAUUAUAAUCAACUAAACAUCAUUGUAUCGCUCCUGAGGGCUGCAGCUUCGGUGGUACACACUAUUAAUAUCUGCGAGCAUCAACAAUCACAUAGCUACGCGCCCGUUAAUUAACUUUUAAACUCCAAAUGAAUACGGCCCGUACGUUAAACGACACUCGUACCGAUUGUUAACCGAACGUUUAAUGAGCGUUUAACAUUAAAUUUUAUGAUACUAUUAUAUAUCACGCGACAUUUGUUUCAAAAUGAUGAACGAGUCGCUAACAUCGUUCCAACCCUAAAAUGGCCACGUCUCUGUGGACGUUUAAGUUUUUUGUCCUUUCUCAGCUCAUUGUCAUAUCUGAAGCCCCCCGUCUGUCAAUUCUACUUAUAUCUGUUUAUAAAUAACUGUUGAUGAAUUUGUGAUGCUAAAUUUAACGGUUCACUGGUUUGUAUUGUGUCUAAGAGAUGGAUUGUGUGUCUCGUGUCUAACAUUCACAUCGGCCGGUUGAUGGUCUUAUGAUAUUUCGAUGUUACUUAAAGUUUAAAUAGACCAGUUUAAUUUCUGCUGGUGUCAGGCGCCCGCUGGCUAAUUUAAUCCUGACGCUAGUCACUUCAGAGGCGUCGGUCUCAUGUAAACUGUACAAGAAAAAGAGCUAAAACGCUCGUCUCCGAGGGAAUGUUUCACUUGAAGGUUGUCAGUGGACCACUUACAAUUAUACAACAUAGAGAGCGUGGAAUCUGCGGUGAAUUUCGAGAAUUAUCGUGGGGUCGAUGAACCGUGUCGACGCAUCUUGGCCGUUGCUCGUUUCGGAUAUAUAUUUUUUUUGUUAUUUUCUUAAAGCAGAUCCUUAUGAUUUUGAUAUUGGGUUGAAUAUAAUUCAUGAUCGCUUUUAAUGUUAACAUAAAAUAUCCUUAAAGAUUUUCACUCAGACGAUGGCGUGAUCGAAUUAUCAGAAGAGUGCUUUUAUUUUUAAUAAGUGAAAAGAAAUUUUGUACGGAGCGUUCGACUCGUAGUCGUUUUUGUUUGUGAUACCCGAUGGAUCUCAAUUAAAAAUUAAUAAUUCUAUAUACACGAAAUACCUUUUCCUUCCAAUUAAAGCUAGACCGAGUCUGUAGUAUUGUAGUCUCAUUUAGAUUAAUGAUUCGGUUCGUGUUACACAAGCGACCAAUGCUGCGUUCUUGCGACACUCCGACAAGGACUUGCAGUACAGUAUUAACGCUUCCGCUUUGUCUUGUGCAGUCGUAUUCAAUACAUUGCAAUUGAGAUAUUACAUAUUGCUGUAUAGCCAGAAUAUAAACAGCUGGUUAUAUGAUCGUAUAAUGUCGAACCGAAUGAAGUGUUUAGACGUUCAAUAAAAUGCGUCUUGAGGCAGUAAUUCGUUCGCGAAGGAGCCUCGACUGUGUGUAAGGUGACCAAUAAAAGUAUGGUCGUCGUAAUAAAUAAAAGAGUGUCCGUCUCAGCUGCGCGGGUGCAGGUGAAAUAAUUGGCAAUUCUUUGUCUCUGUUCGUCAAACCGAAUUCCGAUACGUUGAUAUGAGAACACUUGAGCAUCGUCUCGUUUUAUUCAUUUAUAAAUGGUGUUCUUAUUAUUUUCUAUCAUUUAACAUAUAUAUUACAUUUUGUAUCACUCUUGAAAUUAAAUUAUGUUUUUGUUUACUCAUUUCAUGAAUGCGAAGUAAUGACGUGCAUUACCGGAUAGUUCUCGUUACAUGUUGGGAGUCACCGUAAGAUAGUGAAACAUGUGAGCGCGUGUGGUCCUCUCGGACAGUAUCCCCGGCCUAGUUCACGUUAAGAACGUGACUGACAACUUAGAGCUAGCGUUACGUUAAUAUAGUGCCAGUUUAAUUGGUUGCCGACAUUCGUUACUAAUUGCCAUCGAAAUGUUUGGUUAGCGGCGAGAGUCGGGUCCACGGGACGGAUGAUUAGAUUCAGUGAUAUCAUUAAUACGACAGCGUGGCUAAAUAUAAUCAGUGUAUUAGUUACAAUUGCGACAACGUGAGUGAAAUUCCGGAUGACAGGAAUGUGGGUGAGAUAACCCCAUUCUGUUGGAGCAUGCGCGGGAGCCCUGCCCCCCUCACCCUUCCCGCCCCUCCGAGGCCCCUGCCCUGUAACCCGGCAUGUUUCUGAAGCUCCUCAGUCCACAACCCUCUCUGUCAUAUUCCCCAGUACCACCGCAUCCCUAGCUCUCAGCCCGCGACCAUGUCAAUUCUCUCAUUUACAUCACCAAUUAAUACCAACAAUUUCAUAGUCGCGAAGCCGAUAAUUGUUUCCUGUUUUUCAAACGACAAACAUCUUUUAAUUGCGUCUUAGAUAUUAAAUGAAAUAUAUAUUUACACCUCGCUCCACAUAUACACUGACUUGAGAUAUUACAUACUAUUAUUUUUAAUUCGCAUGGAAUGUGCUAAAUAUUAAUAGCGGUGGGUCCAUUAAGACAGAUGCUGCAAGAUCGCGAGGCGGUCCGGUGGCGGGCGUGAGUGUUAUCUACAUUUGCAUAGACCUGGCCGGAAUAUGUCGACCUCGAAACAGCUGGGAGUUAAAGAUAUAUCCAUUAAUUAUUAUUGUACUAUUAAUCAUUGUCACCACUUACCUGUGACAGAACGACACAAAAACUUUGUUUG